rnacentral:rRNA from 1 species
UACAGAGGGUGCAAGCGUUAAUCGGAAUUACUGGGCGUAAAGCGUGCGUAGACGGUUGCGUAAGUCAGAUGUGAAAGCCCCGGGCUCAACCUGGGAACUGCAUUUGUGACUGCAUUGCUGGAGUGCGGCAGAGGGGGAUGGAAUUCCGCGUGUAGCAGUGAAAUGCGUAGAUAUGCGGAGGAACACCGAUGGCGAAGGCAAUCCCCUGGGCCUGCACUGACGCUCAUGCACGAAAGCGUGGGGAGCAAACAGG